GACGAACCCUGGCGGCGUGCCUAAUACAUGCAAGUUGAGCGCUGAAGGUUGGUACUUGUACCAACUGGAUGAGCAGCGAACGGGUGAGUAACGCGUGGGGAAUCUGCCUUUGAGCGGGGGACAACAUUUGGAAACGAAUGCUAAUACCGCAUAAAAACUUUAAACACAAGUUUUAAGUUUGAAAGAUGCAAUUGCAUCACUCAAAGAUGAUCCCGCGUUGUAUUAGCUAGUUGGUGAGGUAAAGGCUCACCAAGGCGAUGAUACAUAGCCGACCUGAGAGGGUGAUCGGCCACAUUGGGACUGAGACACGGCCCAAACUCCUACGGGAGGCAGCAGUAGGGAAUCUUCGGCAAUGGACGAAAGUCUGACCGAGCAACGCCGCGUGAGUGAAGAAGGUUUUCGGAUCGUAAAACUCUGUUGGUAGAGAAGAACGUUGGUGAGAGUGGAAAGCUCAUCAAGUGACGGUAACUACCCAGAAAGGGACGGCUAACUACGUG
rnacentral:rRNA from 1 species